rnacentral:rRNA from 1 species
UACGGAGGAUCCAAGCGUUAUCCGGAUUCAUUGGGUUUAAAGGGUGCGUAGGCGGAAUGAUAAGUCAGCGGUGAAAUCCCUCGGCUUAACCGAGGAACUGCCGUUGAUACUGUCAAUCUUGAGUACAUUUGAUGUGGGCGGAAUGUGUCAUGUAGCGGUGAAAUGCUUAGAUAUGACACAGAACACCGAUUGCUAAGGCAGCUCACAAAACUGUAACUGACGCUGAGACGCGAAAGCGUGGGGAGCAAACAGG